rnacentral:sRNA from 1 species
GCCGCUGGGUAGGCGGAAGUAGCCGCAGGCAUGGCGGCGGCUAUGCCGCUUGCUCUGCUCGUCCUGUUGCUCCUGGGGCCCGGCGGCUGGUGCCUUGCAGAACCCCCACGCGACAGCCUGCGGGAGGAACUUGUCAUCACCCCGCUGCCUUCCGGGGACGUAGCCGCCACAUUCCAGUUCCGCACGCGCUGGGAUUCGGAGCUUCAGCGGGAAGGAGUGUCCCAUUACAGGCUCUUUCCCAAAGCCCUGGGGCAGCUGAUCUCCAAGUAUUCUCUACGGGAGCUGCACCUGUCAUUCACACAAGGCUUUUGGAGGACCCGAUACUGGGGGCCACCCUUCCUGCAGGCCCCAUCAGGUGCAGAGCUGUGGGUCUGGUUCCAAGACACUGUCACUGAGUGAGUGCACACCUUGGGCCCUGUUGCAGGCCAUGGAGGGAAUGUGGCUGGGAGAGUGUUGUCAUCCUGCCACUGCUCUUGGGGACAGCACUUCCAGUAGGCAGCGAUUCCAUGGGGGUAGAGCUGGCAUUGGAAGUAAGAAAUGUUACCACAGAUGAAUAAACUUCCCAAUCCUGAAACUUUCAGACCUGAGGUAGCACAUGCAUAUCCCUGGAGAGGCAAAUAGCAAACAAUUCAUGCUUAUUUGGAGGUAAGGCAGUAGAAAACUGGCAACUGGAUAACCUUUUAAAAGGCAUUCAUUAAUAUUUUUUAAAUGAUAAUAAAUACCACGAAAGCCAGCCAUAAGAUAUUUGUGGGUUACAACUGGCCAACAGGAUGCUACAUCACAGUGUUAGAGGAACUGCUUUUGUUUGGGAGGGGGCAGGUCUAGUUACUGUGCCUACUACAAACCGCUAUUUCCCAGUGGCUGCUGUGGCUAUCCUGUUUAGAAUAGAACCUUUCUGUGCAGUGGUUGCAAACAUGUCUACAUGGGCCACACAGGUAAGAAAUGAAUAAAGGUAUUUUUAAAAUUGACAAACACAGGAAUGAGAAAUAUAUCUCAUUUUCCUCUUAAUCCCACUAUAAGAAAUCAAUAGUGCAAGUAUGAUAUAACAAGUUUUAGGGCAAUAAAAAGGAGCAGCAGGAAUUGUGGCAGGCUAGAGAGUUUGUGUGACAUUCUAACGAGGACAGCUCUGCCACUCAGCUUCUAUGGAUUGUUGCCAUGUGGGAAUAGAGGCCUAAUGUGGUCAGACUCAAAUGUUUCUAAAAAUUUUUUAUAGAAACAAGGUCUCACUAUAUUGCCCAGGCUGGUCUCGAACUCCUGGGUUCAAGCGAUCCUCCUGCCUCAGCCUCCCAAAGUGUUGGGAUUACAGGCAAGAGCCACCACACCUGGCCUCAUUUUUCAAGAGAUACCAGAAAUCUGGAAUUUAAUGUGAAAAUUGGCAAAUUCAAAUAUCAGCAAGUAAUUUAAAAAUUUUUUGAGUGCUGUGCGGGUCAAUGUUGUGCAUACCAAAUGAAGCAUGUUUAUGGUUUGAGUAGAGCUUUCUGGCUUCAAGUUUGCCAUUUUUAUUUGAGGCUUAAGGAUUGGAGCAGUUGAAAAGCUCUGAACAUAUAAUUAUCAAAAGCUCCUGGACAACACUAAGGAAUAAGGAAUAAGCAGUGACUCCCCGGCUUGCCAAGACUUUCUCUCUUGCCUCAACUCUGGCUCCCCUACCCUUUCCUGUCUACUCUGCUGUCACUGUCUUCCCUCAGCCCGUAAUUGCCUGAAAUGUGGAGCAAAUGCUUAGAAUUCUUUCUAGUGCUUAUUAAGUUUUAUGCUUUCUCUAUUACUGAGAGCAAAUCUCUUUUGAUAUUUCUCCAAGAAAAGAACAUUAAUUUAAUUUGAUGUUUUUAUGAAAUCCUAGAACAGUUAUUUUUCCCAUGUUCAGUGAGCUUUUUUGGAUAUAAGACUUCUCACCAUGAUAGUAGAAUCAGGACUUACCUUUAUUCCCAGAGUAUACACAGGGUAGUAUGCAUUGUUUUGCGCAGCCCAGCACAUUCAAGGAAGAUCAGUGAGCUCAUUUCAGCUCUGAUAUAUGAGGCGCUUUCCAUGGUGUCAGGGGAAGUACAUAGAUGACCCAGACUGGUCCUUGUCCUCAAGUUGCUUACAGCCUAGUUAGGGAGAAAAGGUGGUCAGGACACGAUGCUGCUGCCACCUAGCCAUCUCCCAGGAGGGACCUAGUAAGAUGCUUGGAUGGUCAGAACCGUGACUGCACAGAGGAGACUGUGCUUAAGGAGGGCAGGAAAGGCUUCGUGGAGGGGAGGUAAGAACUGGAGCCGGAUCAUGAAGGUAGGCAGACAGAAGUGAGCAAAGGCUUGCAAGGAAGGAAGGAUCACCUGAGCAGAGACCCAUGGGGAUGCAGAGAUGUCCAGAGGAGAGUGAGGAAGAAGAGGCUGAGUAGGAUGAGACCCAGCAAGUGGGCUGGCUGGGGGCAGCAAUGUUCCAGCUCCAUCAGCUGGCCCGUCUAAUAGUUAAGAAUACAGCCUCCUCCUAUCAUAGGUUUAGCAGCCAGCUGUGGACUUUGAAAGAGGGAGCAGAGGUAGCCCCAGGACAGUGAGUGGAUUUGUGUCUCUAUCCAGUGUGGAUAAAUCUUGGAAGGAGCUCAGUAAUGUCCUCUCAGGGAUCUUCUGCGCCUCUCUCAACUUCAUCGACUCCACCAACACAGUCACUCCCACUGCCUCCUUCAAACCCCUGGGUCUGGCCAAUGACACUGACCACUACUUUCUGCGCUAUGCUGUGCUGCCACGGGAGGUGGUCUGCACCGAAAACCUCACCCCCUGGAAGAAGCUCUUGCCCUGUAGUUCCAAGGCAGGCCUCUCUGUGCUGCUGAAGGCAGAUCGCUUGUUCCACACCAGCUACCACUCCCAGGCAGUGCAUAUCCGCCCUGUUUGCAGAAAUGCACGCUGUACUAGCAUCUCCUGGGAGCUGAGGCAGACCCUGUCAGUUGUAUUUGAUGCCUUCAUCACGGGGCAGGGAAAGAAAGACUGGUCCCUCUUCCGGAUGUUCUCCCGAACCCUCACGGAGCCCUGCCCCCUGGCUUCAGAGAGCCGAGUCUAUGUGGACAUCACCACCUACAACCAGGUAACAAGGUCUCCAGCCACACACACAAACACACCACUGGUCCCCAGGACCAGCCUACCCUCUCUGCUUGCUUCUUAGCCCUGCCUUUGUGUCCCCAGGACAACGAGACAUUAGAGGUGCACCCACCCCCGACCACUACAUAUCAGGACGUCAUCCUAGGCACUCGGAAGACCUAUGCCAUCUAUGACUUGCUUGACACCGCCAUGAUCAACAACUCUCGAAACCUCAACAUCCAGCUCAAGUGGAAGAGACCCCCAGAGAAUGAGGCCCCCCCAGUGCCCUUCCUGCAUGCCCAGCGGUACGUGAGCGGCUAUGGGCUGCAGAAGGGGGAGCUGAGCACACUGCUGUACAACACCCACCCAUACCGGGCCUUCCCGGUGCUGCUGCUGGACACCGUACCCUGGUAUCUGCGGCUGUAUGUGCACACCCUCACCAUCACCUCCAAGGGCAAGGAGAACAAACCAAGUUACAUCCACUACCAGCCUGCCCAGGACCGGCUGCAACCCCACCUCCUGGAGAUGCUGAUUCAGCUGCCGGCCAACUCAGUCACCAAGGUUUCCAUCCAGUUUGAGCGGGCGCUGCUGAAGUGGACCGAGUACACGCCAGAUCCUAACCAUGGCUUCUAUGUCAGCCCAUCUGUCCUCAGCGCCCUUGUGCCCAGCAUGGUAGCAGCCAAGCCAGUGGACUGGGAAGAGAGUCCCCUCUUCAACAGCUUGUUCCCAGUCUCUGAUGGCUCUAACUACUUUGUGCGGCUCUACACGGAGCCGCUGCUGGUGAACCUGCCGACACCGGACUUCAGCAUGCCCUACAACGUGAUCUGCCUCACGUGCACUGUGGUGGCCGUGUGCUAUGGCUCCUUCUACAAUCUCCUCACCCGAACCUUCCACAUCGAGGAGCCCCGCACAGGUGGCCUGGCCAAGCGGCUGGCCAACCUUAUCCGGCGUGCCCGAGGUGUCCCCCCACUCUGAUUCUUGCCCUUUCCAGCAGCUGCAGCUGCCGUUUCUCUCUGGGGAGGGGAGCCCAAGGGCUGUUUCUGCCACUUGCUCUCCUCAGAGUUGGCUUUUGAACCAAAGUGCCCUGGACCAGGUCAGGGCCUACAGCUGUGCUGUCCAGUACAGGAGCCACGAGCCAAAUGUGGCAUUUGAAUUUGAAUUAACUUAGAAAUUCAUUUCCUCACCUGUAGUGGCCACCUCUAUAUUGAGGUGCUCAAUAAGCAAAAGUGGUCAGUGGCUGCUGUAUUGGACAGCACAGAAAAAGAUUUCCAUCACCACAGAAAGGUCGGCUGGCAGCACUGGCCAAGGUGAUGGGGUGUGCUGCACAGUGUAUGUCACUGUGUAG